rnacentral:rRNA from 1 species
GGCAACCCUGAUCCAGCCAUGCCGCGUGUGUGAAGAAGGCCUUAGGGUUGUAAAGCACUUUCAGUAGGGAGGAAGGCCUUGUAGUUAAUACCUGCAAGGAUUGACGUUACCUACAGAAGCAGCACCGGCUAACUCCGUGCCAGCAGCCGCGGUAAUACGGAGGGUGCAAGCGUUAAUCGGAAUUACUGGGCGUAAAGCGCGCGUAGGCGGUUUGUUAAGUGAGAUGUGAAAGCCCAGGGCUCAACCUUGGAACUGCAUCUCAUACUGGCAGGCUAGAGUACGGUAGAGGGGGGUAGAAUUCCA